UAACCCUUUUUCGUAACCCAUCAGGGAAUUUCCUCUGCUGCUACACUUCCUCUGGUUUAGCACCCUGUGACUAGAUCGUUCAAAUUUCUUCCCCAACCUUUGCUCCUCCAGGUUUUUUUUCUGGUGCAAUGGUACCGAUACCAAAAAAAAAAAAAAAAAAAAAUCCCAGCCUCAACAUGCCCUUUACGUUUUGUGUUCCUUCCAACGUGGUCCCUCAAUUAACUCUGUACAGUGAGGCUGAAUUAACAUGGCUUGUUACUACCUCCCUUCCCAGGAAAAGAAGGGCCGUCUUUCUACCAGUAGAAGUUGGACUCUCCCUGGCCUCCUCCCUUGCUGCCUCUGGACUCGGGGCAGGAGGACUUGGUUAUGCAGUAACUAGUACUCAGAAGCUUGAACAACAACUUCGGGAAGCGGUAGAGGCAUUGGCUGCCUCUCUUGCUUCCCUACAAAGGCAAGUAACAUCUAUUGCCCAAGUUUCAUUACAGAACCCUCGAGCCCUAGACCUCCUGAGAGCAGACAAAGGAGGAACACAUCUAUUCCUGAAAGAAGAAUGCUGCUAUUAUAUCAAUGAAACUGGAUUGGUCAAAAAGAAUGUUGACACCCUCCAUUGAUUGGGUGAAAGGCUUAAAUAGCAACAAUCAAAUGACCCUUGGCCAGGCUAGCUAAACUAACCCUCAUCACAUGGCUGACUCCCGUUCUCAUUCCUAUAUUAGUCAUAGGGCUUCUAUGAAUGAUCACUCCCUGCCUCCUCAGGUUUACCCGAAAGUGCAUGGGUGAAAUUGCCAGAGUGACCUACAACCAGAUGCUCCUACAGUCGCCUACCCACCAAACUGACACCC
rnacentral:lncRNA from 1 species